AAGCACUCAUUAGCGAUGUUUACGCAAAACGUCACGAAGAUUCUUAAAAGAACCUAUCAUGCGUAGACAACACAGUUUCCCUGGUGUUGGCGCAGUAGUUGCGCACCCCGGCUAGUCC
rnacentral:sRNA from 1 species